AGCCUGAACGCUGGCGGCGUGGCUAAGACAUGCAAGUCGCACGGGGUCGCAAGACCCAGUGGCGAACGGGAGAGUAAUGAAUCGCUAACGUACCCCGGACUCUGGGAUAGCUAUCCGAAAGGGUAGGUAAUACCAGAUAACAUCACUUCCAGGCAUCUGGAGGUGCUCAAAGGUCCGCCGGUCUGGGGAGCGGGGCGAGUUUCGAAGUCGAGCUAAGUUGGUGGGUAACGCUCACCAAGGCGACGACGCGUAGCCGGAUGAGAGGUGGCGGCCUCAUUGGGCUGAGACACUGCCCAGACUCCUACGGGGGCGUGCAGUAACGGAAUCUUCCGCAAUGCACGACAGUAGUAGGACGGACGACGACGCCGCGGUGGU
rnacentral:rRNA from 1 species